GGGGAAUAUUGGACAAUGGGCGCAAGCCUGAUCCAGCCAUGCCGCGUGAGUGAUGAAGGCCUUAGGGUUGUAAAGCUCUUUCACCGGUGAAGAUAAUGACGGUAGCCGGAGAAGAAGCCCCGGCUAACUUCGUGCCAGCAGCCGCGGUAAUACGAAGGGGGCAAGCGUUGUUCGGAAUUACUGGGCGUAAAGCGCACGUAGGCGGAUCGGUCAGUUAGGGGUGAAAUCCCAGGGCUCAACCCUGGAACUGCCUUUAAUACUGCCGGUCUUGAGUUCGAGAGAGGUGAGUGUAAUUCCGAGUGUAGAGGUGAAAUUCGUAGAUAUUCGGAGGAACACCAGUGGCGAAGGCGGCUCACUGGCUCGAUACUGACGCUGAGGUGCGAAAGCGUGGGGAGCAAAC
rnacentral:rRNA from 1 species